GUAGGUCCCAAGGGUUGGGCUGUUCGCCCAUUAAAGAGGCACGCGAGCUGGGUUCAGAACGUCGUGAGACAGUUCGGUCCCUAUCCAGCGUGGGCGUAAGAAAUUUGAGAGGAGCUGUCCUUAGUACGAGAGGACCGGGAUGGACGCACCAAUGGUGUACGAGUUGUUAGGCCACUAGCAUGGCUCGGUAGCUAAGUGCGGGAAUGAUAAGUACUGAAAGCAUCUAAGUACGAAGCAUGCCUCAAGAUAAGAUUUCUCAGAGUAGGUAAAGAAAAUACCUUAGAUAGGUCCAAGGUGUAAGUGCAGUAAUGUAUUAAGCUAAUGGAUACUAAACUUUAAAUCU
rnacentral:rRNA from 1 species